rfam:Photobacterium profundum SS9
AUUAUGACGGGAGAUGAUGUUCCUCCUUUAACUGCCUUACUGAAGUUUACCCUUCUUAAUAAGGAUGAUGACGUCUAACAACAU